CCUGGAAGACACCAUGAUGAGAUGCAAGUAUUAGUGAAAUGACAUCACAAGAGCCAAGAGAGUGAAAACUUAGAAGCAGAAAGGAAAAGAUUUUAAAAGGCCCAAAGUGUCCUAUCCAGUCCUCUUCAGGGAGAAAGACUGUGGAUGGAAGAUGAAGCCUUGAGAUGCUGAGUAUAACUGUUCAACAGCAAGCGCUGAGGCUCAACAAGUUACAAUUAGCAUUUUGAUCCUUAUUGCACUUCAGAUAUAAAAGAAGAAUUCCCAGAACUGCUUCAUCAAAAAAUCAAAGGGGAUGAUCAGAGAACUUCUAAUACAUCAACUUGUUAUG